rnacentral:rRNA from 1 species
GAAUUGUUCGCAAUGGGCGCAAGCCUGACGACGCAACGCCGCGUGGAGGAUGAAGAUUUUCGGAUCGUAAACUCCUUUCGAUCGGGACGAAUGGCUAGUGGUCUAAUACACCAUUAGAUUGACGGUACCGAGAGAAGAAGCCCCGGCUAACUCCGUGCCAGCCGCCGCGGUAAUACGGGGGGGGCAAGCGUUGUUCGGAAUUACUGGGCGUAAAGGGCGCGUAGGCGGCCUGCUAAGUCACACGUGAAAUCCCUCGGCUCAACCGGGGAACUGCGUGUGAUACUGGCGGGCUUGAAUUCGGGAGAGGGAUGUGGAAUUCCAGGAGUAGCGGUGAAAUACGUAGAUAUCUGGAGGAACACCGGUGGCGAAGGCGGCAUCCUGGACCGAGAUUGACGCUGAGGCGCGAAAGCUAGGGUAGCAAACGGG